AGAGUUUGAUCAUGGCUCAGAACGAACGUUGGCGGCGUGGAUUAGGCAUGCAAGUCGAACGAAUCCCACCUGGGUAACUGGGUGGGGGAAGUGGCGAAAGGGGCAGUAAGGCGUGGGUAACCUACCCUGGGGACCGGGAUAGCCUUCCUAACGGAUGGGUAAUACCGGGCGAUCUGUCGGAGUCGCAUGGCUCUGCCAGGAAAUGAAUUUCGCCUCGGGAGGGGCUCACGUGAUAUUAGCUAGUUGGUGAGGUAACGGCCCACCAAGGCGAAGAUGUCUAGCGGGUGUGAGAGCACGACCCGCGCCACUGGCACUGAGACACUGGCCAGACACCUACGGGUGGCUGCAGUCGAGGAUCUUCGGCAAUGGGCGCAAGCCUGACCGAGCGACGCCGCGUGUGCGAUGAAGGCCUUCGGGUUGUAAAGCACUGUCGAGGGGGAGGAAGCCGCAAGGUUGACCUAUCCCUGGAGGAAGCACGGGCUAAGUUCGUGCCAGCAGCCGCGGUAAGACGAACCGUGCGAACGUUGUUCGGAAUCACUGGGCUUAAAGGGCGCGUAGGCGGGCCAUCAAGUCCGGGGUGAAAGCCCCCAGCUCAACUGGGGAAGUGCCUUGGAGACUGGUGGUCUAGAGGGAGGUAGGGGUCUGUGGAACUUCGGGUGGAGCGGUGAAAUGCGUUGAUAUCCGAAGGAACGCCGGUGGCGAAAGCGACGGACUGGAUCUCUUCUGACGCUGAGGCGCGAAAGCCAGGGGAGCAAACGGGAUUAGAUACCCUAGUAGUCC
rnacentral:rRNA from 1 species